rnacentral:piRNA from 1 species
UGGGGCCUCAGAGAGUGCAUCUGUUGGUCAC